AUGAAGCUCGGCUUCAUUCCAGAUGCAAUCAAAUUAUUAAAUAACCUUUAUAUAAAGAAAAGGAAGUGCCUUGACCUGUAAACACAAAAAGUAUGUCAUGACUGUUGAAGUAUUGGCAAUUAGAAAUAGCAUUGUUGAUUUUUUCUUCUCCUUAAUCCUUAUGUGUAUAUGUUAUUUUGUGAUGCAGAUGGCUCCUGAACCAGCUUCUUGAUAAGCAUGCAGUUACAUCUGAUGAGAAGGCCAGGAUAAUUUGUCUGCAACAGCAAAUGGCAAAAUCUGCAAGGAUCGGAAGUGAUGUCAACAAAAAACGAAAGACACGCAUCUGUAUGCUUUUUUCAGAGUUCGACAAGCUCACAACCAUUAUUGAUUUGUAUCGAGGUGUACUUCCAACUUUUCAGGUGUUCCUGAAGAAGUUGCAACAUGAAAAGCCCAUGAUUCAUGUGCUGCAUGCUGAAAUGCUGCUACUGGUUAGGGAACUUCUCUCCAAAUUUAUGAAGCCUGAAACUAUUCCUUUGAGUGCAAAGGGCUUGUUGAAGCUUAAUGUUCACCAGAGAGACCUGCAGUACACUGACAAAAGGUUGUCUGUGGGGAGAUUCAGCUUCUUUGCCUUAAACAAGGCUAGAGUAGAAAAGAAGCCCUGGGUGCAGAAGGUCUACAGCUCUCUCAGAGAAGGCUACAUAAAGGCAGCAACAUUCCUCCUGAAAAA
ensembl:lncRNA